rnacentral:rRNA from 1 species
CCUACGGGGGGCUGCAGUGGGGAAUCUUGCACAAUGGGGGCAACCCUGAUGCAGCGACGCCGCGUGAGUGAUGAAGCCCUUCGGGGUGUAAAGCUCUUUCGACAGGAACGAUUAUGACGGUACCUGGAGAAGAAGCUGCGGCUAACUACGUGCCAGCAGCCGCGGUAAUACGUAGGCAGCAAACGUUGUUCGGAAUUACUGGGCGUAAAGAGUGUGUAGGCGGUUUUGUAAGUUUGGUGUGAAAUCUCCCGGCUUAACUGGGAGGGUGCGCCGAAAACUGCAAGGCUUGAGUGCUGGAGAGGAGAGCGGAAUUCCUGGUGUAGCGGUGAAAUGCGUAGAUAUCAGGAGGAACACCGGCGGUGUAGACGGCUCUCUGGACAGUAACUGACGCUGAGACACGAAAGCGUGGGGAGCAAACAGGAUUAGAUACCCGAGUAGUC